UAAGGAAUAUUGGACAAUGGGGGCAACCCUGAUCCAGCCAUGCCGCGUGAAGGAUGAAGGCGCUCUGCGUCGUAAACUUCUUUUGCUCGAGAAAAAUUGUUGGGAUUCUUCCCGACUUGAUUGUACCGAGAGAAUAAGGAUCGGCUAACUUCGUGCCAGCAGCCGCGGUAAUACGAAGGAUCCAAGCGUUAUCCGGAUUUAUUGGGUUUAAAGGGUGCGUAGGCGGCUUUUUAAGUCAGUGGUGAAAGCUCCAUGCUUAACAUGGAAAUUGCCAUUGAUACUGAAGAGCUUGAGUACAUUUGAAGUGGGCGGAAUAUGUCAUGUAGAGGUGAAAUUCUUAGAGAUGACAUAGAACACCGAUUGCGAAGGCAGCUCACUAAACUGUAACUGACGCUGAGGCACGAAAGCGUGGGGAUCAAACAG
rnacentral:rRNA from 1 species